GACAGAGGUGGCAAGCGUUGUUCGGAAUUACUGGGCGUAAAGAGCGCGCAGGCGGUCGUUCAAGUCGAGUGUGAAAGCCCCCGGCUCAACUGGGGAGGGUCACUCGAUACUGAUCGACUUGAAGGCAGGAGAGGGAAGCGGAAUUCCGGUGUAGUGGUGAAUGCGUAGAUAUCGGGAGGAACACCAGUGGCGAAGGCGGUUCUCUGGGACGGUACUGACGGCGAGACG
rnacentral:rRNA from 1 species